AACAUGAAGCUUGUUUUAGAACUGGCUGCAAUCGUUAUAUUGAGAACGACUGAAAGAGACAGGAGAGGAACAGACUUAACCGCUAAGUUUUCCUUCUCGACGAAACAUAUUCCUCUUCCACUCCUGUAAAUGCAGACACCUAAUUCCACCCCCUUCUUAGUCACAGUAUUCCCCGAAGGAGCAUGGCAAAUGUUCUGCCCCUCAUAUCUUACGUCGUUGAUUCCUCCUCUGCUCUCCAAUCUAAGAAGCGCCUCUACCUCUCUCUCCCCCACAAUCCCCUCCUCAUCGACGAUGGUAAAUAUUUCAUUCCCCCUUUUCUUUAUCAUUCAUUUCCUUCUUUGGUUUUGUUUUCUGUUUCACUACAAUUGAUUGUGAGCCCAUAAACAUGGAAGCAAUUCGAAGCUCAUAAGGUUAGCAGUUGGAGAGGAAAGGGUCUUUCCAGUAAUGGGGGAAGCACGCGGUUGAGAAUCUUGGUGUUGUUGGUGCUGAUGAACAAUGGAGAUGUAAAACACACAAAGAGGGAACGGUAGAACAUGACUCUCUUUCUCUGCUGUGAUUUUUAGUAAUUCUCCAACUUUUCUGGGUUGUGACUGCACAUGUCCUGAAUAUGGAGGUUGCCUCAUGAGUGAUCGAGGGUUGUAGGAAAAUCAAGAAUUGUUAGAAAUGAUUCAGGUUUGCUGUACUGUAAAAUAGUACUUUUAAAUUCUGAUGGUCAUGUGGAAAUAGUUUUUCUUUUUCAUUUCUCUCAUUUUUAGUGCUUAUAGUUUUUCCUUUUCAUGGAUCUUAUUCUUUAGAAGUAAGGAUCAACUCUUCAUUUUUAAUAUAUUCCUGAAUACUGUAAGGUUUUUUAAAAGUUUAACCUUUUAACAUGUUUUGAAUGGUGGAUCUACAACUUUAUUUUAUUUUAUUAAUUAAAUGCUGAAACUCAUCCUAGAACUGAGUGAUCUCAAGGAUGAGUCACUGCAUCUGUGGUUGUGAAGUAACAGUCUCAUUCCGAUCAAAUGAGCAAAUUGUCUUCCGCUUCCUCAUUAGUCAAAAAUGAUGAAUGCUCCUUCAUCUGUUGUCACCCAUUUGACUACAAGUAUGCAUGGCAACUGGCACGUCAAGUAGUAAAUCUAUAAUUCCUGAGUACUACAAGUGCAGUGUUAAAGGAAGAGAUGAUGGAAAAGGAAGAAGAGCUGCAAUCCAAUUUCAAACCCAAAGGUGUCACAAAAAAAUCAGCUUUCCAAGUUUCGGCUUACUUUAAUGACUGAUACAUCAGCUGCACAAGCAAUGAAGAGGAAGGACAACCAGGUAUUCCAUGGGAAGCAAGGGAAAAUGGAAGCUAUGAGGAAAAGUGUGUCAUAAAUUUUACUGUUAUUUUAUUUGGUAAUGCAUAGGCUGAACUUUUAAAAAAAAUUCCAUGGAUAUUUUUAAUUUUUUUGUUGUGAUUUCAGUUGAGGUUCUGAUAUGACUUUUGGAAUUUUGUAUGCUCUAUCCUAGAUUAUGUUAUGUGGCAGGCUAAGUGAUUAAGUUUCCCUAUUGUGCUUUGCAUUGCAAUGGAUGUUCAUGUUACAAAAC